rnacentral:rRNA from 1 species
UGCAGUCGAGCGAAUCUGAGGGAGCUUGCUCCCAAAGAUUAGCGGCGGACGGGUGAGUAACACGUGGGCAACCUGCCUGUAAGACUGGGAUAACUUCGGGAAACCGGAGCUAAUACCGGAUAAUCCCUUUCCUCACAUGAGGAAAGGCUGAAAGACGGCGUCUAGCUGUCACUUACAGAUGGGCCCGCGGCGCAUUAGCUAGUUGGUGAGGUAACGGCUCACCAAGGCCACGAUGCGUAGCCGACCUGAGAGGGUGAUCGGCCACACUGGGACUGAGACACGGCCCAGACUCCUACGGGAGGCAGCAGUAGGGAAUCUUCCGCAAUGGACGAAAGUCUGACGGAGCAACGCCGCGUGAGUGAUGAAGGUUUUCGGAUCGUAAAACUCUGUUGUUAGGGAAGAACAAGUAUCGGAGUAACUGCCGGUACCUUGACGGUACCUAACCAGAAAGCCACGGCUAACUACGUGCCAGCAGCCGCGGUAAUACGUAGGUGGCAAGCGUUGUCCGGAAUUAUUGGGCGUAAAGCGCGCGCAGGUGGUUCCUUAAGUCUGAUGUGAAAGCCCACGGCUCAACCGUGGAGGGUCAUUGGAAACUGGGGAACUUGAGUGCAGAAGAGGAAAGUGGAAUUCCAAGUGUAGCGGUGAAAUGCGUAGAGAUUU